UCCGUUUCAAUUUGUUCAUACCAUCAUGAAUUCAUCAUGCAAGAAAGAAUCGUAUCGAGUUUCAUUUUGUUCCAUACUCUUUUUUUCCUUUCUUUUUUCAUCCAUCCUCUUCCUCAUCCUUCACUCUCUUUUUUAACAUUUUUUUGUGUAGUUUGGCAAACAAAGUGAAUAACAUUGACCAUAACCUUCUCCUAACACUAACCCCAU
rnacentral:lncRNA from 1 species